CAGCAGCCGCGGUAAUACGUAGGUGGCAAGCGUUGUCCGGAAUUAUUGGGCGUAAAGCGCGCGCAGGUGGUUUAAUAAGUCUGUUGUGAAAGCCCACGGCCCAACCGUGGAGGGUCAUUGGAAACCGUUAAACUUGAGUGCAGGAGAGAAAAGUGGAAUUCCUAGUGUAGCGGUGAAAUGCGUAGAGAUUAGGAGGAACACCAGUGGCGAAGGCGGCUUUUUGGCCUGCAACUGACACUGAGGCGCGAAAGCGUGGGAAGCAAACAGGAUUAGAUACCCCUGUAGUCCCUGUCUCUUAUAC
rnacentral:rRNA from 1 species